rnacentral:rRNA from 1 species
GAGGGAAAGGCGAAAAGAACCCCGGCGAGGGGAGUGAAAAAGAACCUGAAACCGUGUACGUACAAGCAGUAGGAGCCUCUUUAUGGGGUGACUGCGUACCUUUUGUAUAAUGGGUCAGCGACUUAUAUUCUGUAGCGAGGUUAACCGUAUAGGGGAGCCGUAGGGAAACCGAGUCUUAACUGGGCGAAUGAGUUGCAGGGUAUAGACCCGAAAC